GAUGAACGCUGGCGGCGUGCCUAAUACAUGCAAGUCGAGCGAACGGACGAGAAGCUUGCUUUUCUGAUGUUAGCGGCGGACGGGUGAGUAACACGUGGAUAACCUACCUAUAAGACUGGGAUAACUUCGGGAAACCGGAGCUAAUACCGGAUAAUAUUUUGAACCGCAUGGUUCAAAAGUGAAAGACGGUCUUGCUGUCACUUAUAGAUGGAUCCGCGCUGCAUUAGCUAGUUGGUAAGGUAACGGCUUACCAAGGCAACGAUGCAUAGCCGACCUGAGAGGGGGAUCGGCCACACUGGAACUGAGACACGGUCCAGACUCCUACGGGAGGCAGCAGUAGGGAAUCGUCCGCAAUGGGCGAAAUCCUGACGGAGCAACGCGGCGUGAGUGAUGAAGGUCUUCGGAUCGUAAAACUCUGUUAUUAGGGAAGAACAUAUGUGUAAGUAACUGUGCACAUCUUGACGGUACCUAAUCAGAAAGCCACGGCUAACUACGUG
rnacentral:rRNA from 1 species